rnacentral:lncRNA from 1 species
GCAGGUCACUAAUGUUUCCAAGGCUAGAAGGCUUGCCAGUUUCCUGGUUGUUUAAUAAGCCUGAGGUUUGGUUCUAUAUAAGUUAUAAAGAAAAUAGGUUUGUUUUCAGGCUUUCUCGGCUUUUCUACAUUUCUAAUGUGUAAUCUUCCUAGCUGCUCCUGCCCAAACUUUAAUAGUAAGGACAAAACAAGCUGGAAUCUCUCUCUCUCUCUCUCUCUCUCUCUCUCUCUCUCUCUCUCUCUCUCUCUCUCACACACACACACACACACACACACACACACUCACACACUCACACACACUUUAAUAGUAUUGGGGGCAUUUUCAAGAUUUCUGAACAGGGAAACCAGCUCUCUUGGUUACUUUAAAAAUUCACACACAAAGGAAUCACAGAUGGGAGAGAGUGCAAAUGAUUAUCAAAAAUUGUCUCAUGCAAUUUUUAAGUUUUUUUUUACAAGUCAAAAUAUACAUCCUCCUAUUUCCCCCUUCAUUCCUCAAUUAUAUAAGAAGUCGCUUGUGUUUCUUCAGUCUCCUCUGCGCAGCAUGGAACUGGAUAAUGAAAAAAGCUACUUUCUUGUUAAGGAACAGUAUACAACUCUAAUCCACUUGAACUCUGACAGCUGCAGGUUGGGCUGAGCAACCCAGCCUAUCCUCUUUCCGUGGGGAUUUAAGUGUGUGAAAUGACAGGUACGUGAGAUUAGAAAACAAAGCAGCCUGCAGACUUUGGCACUAGCACACAUCAUGUUUUGAGUUGUUAAGAGCUGUGGAUUGACGAUCACUAAACAGGAAUUAAAAAAAUUAGAAAUCUGCAGAAAACAAACAAUCUUAGGUGUUGAUUCUGAGUAUCACUCCCCUUCUCCCAUGCCCACCCACCACCCCCAUAUAAUUUUUGAUUGUAAUAAAAAUAGAGAUCUUAGCAUCAGAAUUUUGCUGUUAACUCUUCAAGGUUGCUCUGUGCCGUCCAAGCCACAUUCAGUGUUUGAAGCACCAAAUCCACAAGUUUCUCCGACCAAAUUUAAAUAAAUAAAUGAAGACUGAAGGAUGCCAAAGUGUUUAAAACUUAAGCUGUAACACAGAGUUCUCCCCAGAGCAUAGAGUAUUAAUUGUCAAGUUCAAGUACUGCCAGGCUGUAUGUAGAGGUGUCUCAGGCCUCAGACAACAUCUACAAGUGCUACUGGCUUAGAGGGCAACAACAUCCAUGAUACAAAACGGGGCAGGGAUACCCAUCCAUCACCAAUGUUAAAAAGUUGCAACCUUUUGUGUGAAUGGCUGCUGGAGGAUCUGUGCUGAGCCCGGACUUUGAGUGGAGGAAGCUAAGUUCCUCGGGUAUGGAAGCUUUACAGUAGUUUGCGUUGUUCACAUUCCAGAGUGCUCUCUCAGAGAAGCUAGGCUUCUGCCGGGGCCUCUGAGGAUCCAUUGCCCUUGCCCAGAAGAGAGAGCCUUGCUUCCACCCAGUAACAGGGAAAGAAGAUUUGACCUACCUGUGAAAAGACCCAACUUGGUCCCCAAAGGUCGCUUAGGCGACCCCACUGCCAUUGACAAGUCAACCUGCGCACUUAAAGCGUAUCAGUUUGUGGAACGCUUGUUUGAAGUCCUCAUUGGACAUGGUGUAGAUGAUGGGGUUGAUGAGGGAGUUAAGAUAGCCUAACCAAUUGAAGAAGUCAAAAAUGGCCAUGUGAAACCAGCAGGCAUCCUUACAGAUAGGCAUCACCAGGGAGAUGAUGAAGAAGGGCAGCCAACACACAAUAAAUGCUCCUAAAAUGAUCCCUAGGGUCUUGGUGGCUUUGCGCUCCCUAGCGGCCAUGAGUUUCUUCUUUUCCAGCAGGGCGUCUGAGACUCGCACUUUGACUUGGUUCACGUACACAGGAGACCCGGACUCACUGGGCACGUCCGGAGCCCGGGAGUUAAUGGAGGUGACCGAGGAUGUGGAUCCCGGGGAGUCUGUUAUCAACUGGGCUCGGGUCAAGCGCUUGCCGGUCUUGUUGGGUGUCUGUUUCAAAAUCCGAGAGCGGGCUUCCACAUAGAUGCGGCCAUAGAGGGCGAUGAGGAGCAGGGUGGGUAAAUAGAAAGCGCCCACCGUGGAGUAGACCGUGUAGAGGACGUGGUCGGUGUUCACAAAGCAGUCCAGCAUCUCCUCCUCUGCUUUGGCUUGACGCCAGAAGAAGGGUGGCAACGAAAUAGAGAUGGAGAAGACCCACACCAGCACGAUCAUGAUGGCCGCCCUUUUGGGAGUCCUUUUAGCAGAAUACUCCACCGCAUCGGUGAUGGCCCAGUAGCGGUCCAGGGCGAUGACACAGAGAUGCAUGAUGGAAGCAGUGCAACAGGUGAUAUCCGACGACAGCCAGAAGUCGCAGACCACCUGGCCUAGUGUCCAGCGUCCAGUGACCGUGUACAUGGUGCUGAUGGGCAUCACCAGGAUGGACACGAGCAGGUAAAAUCGUCAUCGAAGACUCCAGCACUGAACAACCCUUUCCUGUGUAGCGAUAACCCAUAGCCAGGCUCCUCUCAAACAGCCUCACUAUCUCUGAAAGUUGGUU